rnacentral:lncRNA from 1 species
GGUGUACUGAUUGUCAGCUGGUACGAGAAGAACCAUAUUGGCAAAAGGUAUUUAUUGGUAUGGUUUGGUAAUGGCAGGUAAGCUUCUGUUCUGGGCUGUGUUGGUGUCACAACUCUCUUUUUUUCCUUAUCUUAUGAUUUAUUAUUUUAAUGUUAUAUUUUAGCAUAAAUAUGAUGUGCAUUAAUUUGAAUGCCCUAGUCAUCCUAUUAGAUGUGUGCUUAAAUUUUGUUAGUUCAUCACAUCACUUUACAUAAUUUUAACUAAAAAUGCAUUGAAAAUCUACAUGCAUACAUUACAAUUGAACAAUAGGGGUUUUUAGGAGUGCCCUAGUCAUCCUUGUUCUCACCUCCACAAUCCAUGUUCUUGGUUGUUCACACCUUCAAAUCUUGGAAAACACCAAAAAGAGGGUUCAAAGGCUUCCUUGGAAAUACUGAGCGAUAUUGAUCAAUUAUAGAAUGCUUCGACAUUGAUUCUGCAAUCUGGCAUAGGACGGACAGAUUUUGGUUCGGUCAAACCAAAGAGUACUAGCUCGGUAACCAAUAUGACCAAUAUUUCAAUCCUUAAUAUACACAUAUACAAAGGAAUAGCAUGCACCUAAAAGUAUUAUAAGGACAACAAAAUCAAAGGAAAAUUCUCAUUAAGCCAUGUCAUGAAGAGAACCUUUUGCCUUUUCCAUUUGUCUUCUAGUUAGUUUCCUAUUUAAGCAUAACUGAAAGAACCCAAGGCUCAUCUCAUCCUUGCAUACUAAGGCUUCAUUUGUCAUAGUUUUUGGAGGACCAAAAACCACUUCUUGGAGGGCCAAAAGAUCUUUUGAACAAUUUUGAAAUGUUUGGUAAAAAUUUUGAAAUGGCUUUCUAUUUCCUUCAAAAGCUGAAAGAAGUCCACAAGGAAAAAGUUCCGAUUUGGA